AUUCCUCUUAAUAAGGGAAAUACCCACUGGGUUUCGGUUGUCAUGCAUCGCCCGAAAGAAGAGUUUUAGGUUCUUGAUUCUUUGAUGGGACCCGAACUUGACAGUGAAAUUACAGAAAAAGUUGAGGAGCUGGUACGGCAUAAAUUUACAUAAGCAUAUUGAAAUUAUCAUUUAGUAACUGAACUAUGUUAAAUUCUUUUCGUGCUAUUAUGUAUAUGAACAAAAAAAUCAACUUGGAUAUGACAUACGUGAUGCGAAUGCGAGCGGUGCUGUGAAUUUUCCGGAUGUGUCUACCUGGCCUAUCAAAACGUAUAACAUCCCACAACAAGAAGACAGCAAUUCAUGUGGAAUAUUUGUUCUUCGAUGCUUUCAAUAUUGGAACGGUGAAAAAUGGACAAGCCAUUUUUCUCAGGGGUCAAUUGAUAAAUCGAGGGACUUAAUGAUUGCGCAGCUUAUUUUUUCGGAGAGAAAUACGCUCAACGAUGUGAAGGACAAAAUUACCCGGCUUGCAAAGAAGAAAUAAAUGUGCCAAAAUUUUUGUAAAAGAAAAUUUUGUAGGCUCAAAUAAUGUUUACAUUUAUUUCGACUAUCAUGU